CCUGUCAGUGCGGUGCCGAAGAACGAUUUCCUGCACCGGCCGGCUUCGAAUCCCGCAGCGCGCUACGCGCCGCCGCGGUUCCUCGAUCCCGCAGCUUGGGCGCCUCGCGAACACAUCGCGGCCCCGCGCUGCUCGUUACUUUUUUCCUCCCCCUUUGGCUCCUCUUGUCUUCUGCCACGUCAUUGGCGGCUGCGGCGCGGCUGCGACAGCCGGCGCGGCGAUAUCGGAUCUGACAUUCAGCCGACAGCCACUUUAACAGCCCGACAACUCCUUCCGAGGAAGAGAAAGAGGGGGAGAAAGUUCGAUGACAUCCGGAGAGGCUAUGACCUUGUGACAGGCCUCGCAUGCUACUCCAGCUGGGGAUCACGCGGACGCCGACUGCGAUGUCAAGGAGUUUCCGGCAAUGUACAGAGAGGUGCUUGGCUACUAUAGGAAAGAACGAAGAAAACAUCCACAACCCCACGGGUGCCUAGACAGGUCUCAGGCGGUCGACCUGGGACGGUUGCAGACGGGCACUUUCACCAACCCCUACCACCUGC